UCGGACGUGGUGCACGGUUCACAGCUGCUGUUAAUAUGAUGUGGACUCCUCCGAUAUAGGCAGCAGGCCGGGGUUCAACUCCCCGCGUCCGAA